GUCCAGCAGCGUAUAAAUCUCAGCUGCCUGGGCCUUGCUGCAUCUUCUGCACACGAUGUCCUCAAUUAGCAACAUGAAGCUGGGCAGCCUCUUCCUCCUGGCCAUUCUCCUCACCCUCAACACAAGACUCCAGGCAAUUGCCAUCUGUAGCAUCAAGUGCAGUGAAGACAGGGAUUGUGGGAGAGGAAAACAGUGCAUCCAGGAUGGCUGUCGGAGAAUCUGCUCCCCGCUGAUGAGUGUAGGCAUCUGUGAGUCCCAGUGCUUCAGAGAUCGGGACUGUGGAGCUGGAAGAGGGUGAGUCAGCAAAGGCUGUAAUCGGGUCUGCUCCCCUGCACCAGAAGCAUCAAUAGGAAUCUGUGUGCAACGCUGCCGAGGAAACUGGGACUGUGGGGCUGGAGAACGAUGUAUCAGGAAGGGAUGCAGUCGCGUCUGCUCUCCAGUCCGCACAGCAGGGGUAGGUAUCUGCCUGGACCAAUGCCAAGGACACCGGGACUGCCCAGCAGGAAGCCGAUGUGAGCAAUGGAUGUGGCCGUGUCUGCUCACCCACCCAGGACCGGCGAGCGGAACAGAGACCUGGAACGUGUCCAAGGGUGCCAGAAGGAACGUUUAGAACUUGUGCUGAAACGUGCGCAGGAGAUGGAUCCUGUCCCCCGGGCCAAAAAUGCUGCAGCAAUGGCUGUGGAAAAUCUUGCCAAGUCCCUGAUCUGGGCCUCACUAUCCAUUUGGAUGAUAAAUGAACCUUGGCCUCCUUCAGUAAUUGUUUCCAAAUGUCAUCUUUAUUCUGAGAUCUGUGCUUUCUUACUGUCUUUUCUGGAACCCCAGGAUCACAGGAUGUGGAUCCAAAAUAACUCAGUUUUUAAGUGUUGAAUUUGGGCAAUUAUUUGAUGAUUCAUAGCAUGACUGCUUCUAAAAUUAUCUUUUUUCUGAAUAAAAUGAUUUCUGUGGCAUUAUCCAAC
ensembl:lncRNA